GACGAACGCUGGCGGCGUGCCUAAUACAUGCAAGUCGAACGCUGAAGGAGGAGCUUGCUCUUCUGGAUGAGUUGCGAACGGGUGAGUAACGCGUAGGUAACCUGCCUGGUAGCGGGGGAUAACUAUUGGAAACGAUAGCUAAUACCGCAUAAGAGUAGAUGUUGCAUGACAUUUGCUUAAAAGGUGCAAUUGCAUCACUACCAGAUGGACCUGCGUUGUAUUAGCUAGUUGGUGGGGUAACGGCUCACCAAGGCGACGAUACAUAGCCGACCUGAGAGGGUGAUCGGCCACACUGGGACUGAGACACGGCCCAGACUCCUACGGGAGGCAGCAGUAGGGAAUCUUCGGCAAUGGACGGAAGUCUGACCGAGCAACGCCGCGUGAGUGAAGAAGGGUUUCGGAUCGUAAAGCUCUGUUGUAAGAGAAGAACGAGUGUGAGAGUGGAAAGUUCACACUGUGACGGUAUCUUACCAGAAAGGGACGGCUAACUACGUG
rnacentral:rRNA from 1 species